rnacentral:lncRNA from 1 species
UUUCUUUUUUUUAAAGCGGGACAUUCUCACUACUUUUUUCACCUGAAGAUUGAAAAGGAAACUCAUUUCAGUUUGUAACAUUGCACUGACUGUUCCAGACACAAAAUGAAUCAAGUCUCCUGUUGGAUUAUGUGGUUAGCAUUUCUUCUCUUCUCUGAUAUAGAAAUUUAGAUCUGUAAGGACCAUCAGUGUGGUGAAGGUCACAUGUACAUCAGAAUUGGAAUUGGAGUCAUGUCAAGAUGUUCUCACUGGCAAAGACAGGAGGAGGUUAAAAUAGCUCCUUGUAGGGCAGUAACCUCGGGAGAAAAAGAACUAAUAGAAAAUAAAUGGCGAGUAUUUUUUUUGAAUCAUUUGUAUGAUAAGCUUAUAAUGUACUUGUCUCAAUGCAGAAAGCACAAGGAAAAAAUAAAUAUGUCCUCAUCACAUUGGUAGACAAAGCACUAAGCACGUAGGUUGUCAGAAAUUCGAUAUCCCUUUCUCUUUUCUAUAUCCUCUACCAAACAGAAAGUUCCACAUACAUCUGAGACUUCAGUGUCUAUGUGACUUGAGUACAAUUUCCUUUUUCAUCUUUGUUUUUCCUUUACUUACUCGUUUCCCUUUAUUCUUACCUGAGAUAUAGAGAAUAAAAAAUAACACUAUAGAAUCAACCUUUUUUUCUAGGUAAUUUAGAAUAAAUUUUCCA